ensembl:rRNA 5S_rRNA 5S ribosomal RNA
GCUUACGGCCAUACCACCCUGAACACGCCCGAUCUCGUCUGAUCUUGGAAGCUAAGCAGAGUCGGGCCUGGUCAGUACUUGGAUGGGAGACCGCCUGGGAAUACCAGGUGCUGUAAGCU